UACGUAGGGUGCGAGCGUUGUCCGGAAUUAUUGGGCGUAAAGAGCUUGUAGGCGGUUUGUCGCGUCUGCCGUGAAAAUUCGAGGCUCAACCUCGAACUUGCGGUGGGUACGGGCAGACUAGAGUGUGGUAGGGGAGACUGGAAUUCCUGGUGUAGCGGUGAAAUGCGCAGAUAUCAGGAGGAACACCGGUGGCGAAGGCGGAUCUCUGGGCCAGUACUGACACUGAGGAGCGAAAGCGUGGGUAGCAAACAGG
rnacentral:rRNA from 1 species